rnacentral:rRNA from 1 species
UCCGGGGCUAAAACUUACUACCGAAGCUACGGCAUCAGUAAUGAUGGGUAGGGGAGCUUCCCAUACGGGUUGAAGCAUGACCGUAAGGACAUGUGGACAGGAUGGGAGUGAGAAUGUUGGCAUGAGUAGCGAGAUGUGGGGGAGAAUCCCACAGGCCGUAAACCCAAGGUUUCCAGGGGAAGGUUCGUCCGCCCUGGGUUAGUCGGGACCUAAGCUGAGGCCGAAAGGCG